UAGCUCUUUUAAGCAGCAAGAAACUAUCAAAUAACUUGGAAAUGAAUAAGGAACUAAAUUCACAUAUAUUAAAUUUUCCAUCUAAGGCACCAAGGGUCUUCACCAUUUACAUGUUAGGUUAUGAAGCAUUCACAUGUAGAUUGCAUUCAGAAUCAUGAAACCCUAAAAUAGCAUGCGAUAUUCCGUGUAGAUUUUAGGGGACAGUUCAAAUCUAAUUUCUAGGGUUCGAGUAAUCAUACAUGAAAACGAAUAAAACACUUGGAGGAUUCUUCGGCUUGUUAGGAUCCUUAGCGACUUUGUUCAUUUGUUUCCUUCAUGUUCCUGCACCCUUACUCU
rnacentral:lncRNA from 1 species